GACGAACGCUGGCGGCGUGCCUAAUACAUGCAAGUCGAGCGGACUGAUUAAGAGCUUGCUCUUAUGACGUUAGCGGCGGACGGGUGAGUAACACGUGGGCAACCUGCCCUGUAGAUCGGGAUAACACCGAGAAAUCGGUGCUAAUACCGGGUAAUAUCUGAGAUCACAUGAUCUUAGGUUAAAAGAUGGCUCCGGCUAUCACUACAGGAUGGGCCCGCGGCGCAUUAGCUAGUUGGUAAGGUAAUGGCUUACCAAGGCGACGAUGCGUAGCCGACCUGAGAGGGUGAGCGGCCACACUGGGACUGAGACACGGCCCAGACUCCUACGGGAGGCAGCAGUAGGGAAUCUUCCGCAAUGGACGAAAGUCUGACGGGGCAACGCCGCGUGAGUGAUGAAGGGUUUCGGCUCGUAAAGCUCUGUUGUUAGGGAAGAAACAGUACCGAACGAACUAGGUCGGUACCUUGACGGUACCUAACCAGAAAGCCACGGCUAACUACGUG
rnacentral:rRNA from 1 species